CAUCGGGCCGCAAGACGGGGCACGUCAGUGCGGCGCCGAAAGUCGUUCGAACGUGGCGUGUGACGCCAAUUUCGUGGGCAAACAGGGGUCGGGGACCCCGUGCCCGUAGCGUUUUCCGCAUCCCGGAGGUCGAGCGGGAAAUCGGGGGCCGGGACGACGACGCGGUGCGCGGGCGUCACGGAACACGAUUCUCGCUUCGGGGUUCGCCCGUAGCCGCGCCGUGCAAACGGGCGGCGCUGGGCGAACGAUGGAACGAUCGGCCAACACAAUUCCGUCUACGUAGGUAGCAACACAGGAAACCGCGGUCCCGCCAAGGGAGGCUCCCCUU
rnacentral:misc_RNA from 1 species